GGAGGGUCAAAAUAUCUCUUCAAAGCUUAAUUGAUGCCAAUCACAUUAAUUGUGAUGCCCAAUAAGGAUUCUUUGAAGAGGUCACGCAUAAUGCAAAAAUAUGAGACUCUAAGAAAAGAAAAGGAAUAAAAUAAUUAUAUAAAUACAAAUAUACAUGACCUAAAGGAAUGCAUCAUGUCGGGUACGGGGAACUAAUGUUCGUGACUCAAUUUUCCCUUUAAUAGAGGGAAUACGAACAUGCUAAGGUUAGAGAGCCAAACUCGUCCAUAUCUCAUACUCAAGGGGUAAUUUCCCUAUCUAAUCAAGCAAACGUACUACCCUAAUUCUAAUUUUCCCUAUAUGAAAUGCAAAUCUAAUGUCAUGUCUCAUGCAUAGGAUUAUAUAAAGGAAAAUAUAAAAUAGGGGAUAUGGAUAUAAGAGGGAAUAUGGGAUAAGGGAUGUGUGUGUAAAGGGAAUAUGGGAAAAAUUACGUAUAUAUAAAGGGAAGUAUGGGAUAAAGGUUAUAUUAUAAAGGGAACAUGGAAAAAAAUUGAUAAAAGACCCUAGAAAAUGAAAAAUAUGAAAUGAAAUGAUUUUAUCAUACAAUCAUGAUCUAACGCUCGAAGGGCUCCUAAGGGUCUAGCGUUGGACUAGCCUAUAUUUCUACUUCCUCACUAGCGUUGGACUACUGAAAAAUCGAACAAGGAAACCACAACUAGCGUUGAACUAGUAUAGCAUCGGGAAAUGAAUCACUACUAGCGUUGGACUAGUGUGAUAUUACAUCAUACAUUAAUUAUAACUAAACCAAUAAUAUAAAGCAAGUAAACACAUAAUAUCACAUAAACAUAUAACACGUAAUCAUGAUAUCUAAAUGCGAGACCCUAAGAAAGCGGAUAACACGUAACACAUAAGCAUGCAAGACAUACUAGGCAAAUAAAGCAAACAAGCCCUAACUAUUAUAUUGGGAAGGGCCCUACUACAAUCUAAAAAGGGAAAUAAAAUAAAUAAUUAAAAGAAAUACCUACCUAUUACAAUUGUGGCAUUUAAUUGCCUUCCCAAAUAAUUACAAAUUAAAAUUAAAUAAAUAUUAAAAAAAUUGGAAUAAAUAAAGCAUAUAAAGAAAUGAAAUAAAACAUUCAAAAGGCAUGUAAUUAAACACAUAAUGUCACAUAAGUGCACAUAGGGUCAAGUAAAUUAGAAAUAAGGGAUAGAGUGUACCUCCCUUGAGUUGGGGCCUUAAUGACACGAAUUUACUAUUUACCCUCCAAAAUAACAAAAAGGGUCAAGGCACCACUUUAAUUAACAAUAAAUGAAAUAAAAACUAAACACGAAAUGAAAAUUUAAACACAAAAUGGAAUCACUUAAGGUAUUCACAUAAAAUAAACCAUUCAAGUAUUAAAGCAAACAAAGUCCUAAGUAGAAAGUUUUAAAAGUUAAAAAUGAAAUACUAAAAUUGAUGGCUUAAGAUGAGACUUAUCAAAAUCAAAUGCUAAAAUUCACGAAAAUAAAUCAAAAAUCACUUGUUGCAAUUAAACAACAAAAUACUCAAAAAUUUCACUAAAACCCAAAUCAAAAUCAUAAAUCCCUCAAAAAUUAUUAAACCUCAAAAUUUCAUUCUAAAAUCCACUAAGAAAUUUAUCCAAACGGUAUGUUAAAAUGUACUAAAGGAAAAUUGGAAUUCAAAAGGACAAGGUUGAUCAAAUUUCGAAUUAUUUUGGUCAUGAUAACAUCACUUUAAGACAACAGGGAGCAAAGUGCAAUUCUUGGAAGGUUUUCAUGCAACAUGCAUGCAAAUGCUACGAAGGAAACAAGUUUCUGCAACAAAAAACUUUCAACUACUCAUGAAGCUUUCGGCAAUGUUCUGCUGCAUAUCUGCAGCAUCAAACCACGCGAAUGAAUUGCCCAAAAAAUGCACAAAAACUCAUUUUUUAUCAACCUAACUCACACACACGUCUCCACUCAUCCAUCAACUGAGAAGAUCCAGGCCAGGAAAGCGAGGAAACACAAGAAAUGCAACAAAACACUUAGCAGCUUUUCGCACCGAGAGUCUCCAGAAAUAAUCCAAGUACAAACCGAAAGGACAUGAAAUCCAAGCCAAAUUUGUGCAGCUGAUGCCUUUUUUAUUUCGAAAACUAACGCCCAAGAUACACAAGACAGAAAAAAGGCAAGAGAAUCAUCAAAGAGCAAACAUGAUAAAGCUGUGGAACAAGCUCAGCAAACCAGCGGCCAAAAGGUUUGACAGUUCAUGCAUCUUCUUAGCAGGAACUUCCUUUUCUUUCGCUGGUUUCUUGAGCUACAAUUUCUGGGUUUUUGAAUGCAAUCAUUUCCAUCUAAACAUUGCUAACGACUCAACCAACAACAGCUUGGGCCAAAGUAACAAAUUCACCAAGCAUUCUCUCCACUUUGUGACCCCAAAAACUGAAAAUUUCAUAGAAGAAAAAACAGGCAUGCGAAAUCUGGAAAUUUCUGCAACUUUCAACCAUGGCAUUCUUCCAUUUCAUCACGCAAACAAGUCCAACGAAUAUCAAAAUUUUGGGUCAAAACAAACGAACGAUACAAGUCUCAAUCAUCAUCUAAACCAAAUACUAUGUUUUGUUGCAGGAUUAAAGCAGAAAACCUGGGUUGACCGACAGUAAAAGAAAGAGAAAAAAAUGCAGCAGUUUUAACAAGAAAUCCAAUCCCAAGUACUUGUCAAAUUCCUAAACCCAUCACCAAGAUGUGGUGCUAAACAUCUAAAAGGAAAAAUCUGAAUUGAGGGACUUGCAGGAACCCAGAUUCAUUCAUUGGUUUCAAGUUCUGGGUUUUCAUGUCAAAAUCAAACAAGCACCAAACUCUCAAGACAAAACAACAAUCAAACCCAAAUCUUGUACUUUGCCCGCCUUAGAAUUCGUCAGACCCAAAUUACACACACAAACGAGAACCAAAAUGCAACCUUUAGUUUAUUAACUAUACAUACUUCAUAUACACAAGAAGUGAGAUGAUUGCAUAUGCUGAUUACUAAACACAAGAGAUGUUCAUGACUUCUAAAUUGGAUUCACAGUUUCGGAUACUCGUUAAAUGGACAAAGAAGCCGACACCAAGCCUAUCAAUUAGCGCAACAACAUCACAAAGUAUAAUCACAGUCAUUGUCAACCACAGUCAUGAUCAUUCAUUCGAAAAAAAUGCAGCCUAGACGAAGCUUUUUCUGCUGCAAUUUUCUGAGUUCUUUCUUCCGCAACUUCAUCAUUCGACUGGGAUGUCUAUGCGAAAUAAAUCAAACCAAGCCCACUGAUUCAUUUAACCAAACCCAAAUGCUAUAAUCUCAAACCCACAUUGUUAACUUCACCCAAAAUACGAUUGCCCAUUCCCAGCAGAUUCAAUGGUGCAACUGAACAUGAAAGCGCAGCAAAGACAGAAAGAAAGAAUCUUGCGCUAGACAUGUACAUGGAAAACCAGUCAAACAACAAACAAAUCACGAAAUUCAAGCAACCCAAGAGCUCAAGCAACCCAAAAAGAAAAAUGACCCCUUCGACAUGGCUGUAACUCUGGAUAAACAAACAGAGGAGAUUUGGAUAUAAAAAAAACAAAAGAAACUGGUUCUGCCUUUUGAAAGCAAAGGACCGGACCUGGAGAUUAACAACUGUGUAGCCAUGACAUCAAGAUCUAACCUCUAACCAUGUCUAAUGCUCUUUUAAUAUAUCUUUUAGCCAUUAAUACACAGAUCUUUGAAUCAAAAGAGAUCAGGAAAAGGAGCUAACAGAUAAAAUAUGAGUUGGCUAGAUCAAGAUGCAUUUGUUACCUCCUGAGUCUUCUCUCUCGGCUUGUUCCAGAGUCUUCCUCCCCAAGCUCUCCUUUUUCUCAGCUUUUCCGUUUCUCAGCCCGUAGCUCUCUGUUUCCUUUCCCGCCGCCACUCUCAACUGCUCUCUUUCCUUCCCAAGUUCUUAUCAUGUUCCGCCCGUAACCUUUCUUGCUCUCCACAACUUUCUCUUCCUCCCUCGUUUCUUUCUUUUCCAGCUUGGCCGCUCUCUCUCUCCCGCUUAGGUUCUCUCUCAGAAACCCCCCCGUCACUUUUCCUUCCUUCGUUCUCUCUUUCUUCUCAGUUUCGUCCCUCAGCCACCACUCCUCUUACUUCUCCAAAAUUUUUUAGCCGUCACACACUAUCCCCUCUUCUAAAACCCUUAGUUUUCUAUUUAUACCAGAUUCAAACCCUUAAAACUUCAUCUCGAUGGUUCAUAAACAAUCUCAGCUCACCGCCUCUCUCUUAGCCCUUGAUUUUGUUUCAUUUCUAGAUUCUUCUUGGUUGUUAGAUGGAAGCCAAGUAGAAUGAGGUUAGCAUGAUCCAACGGUGAAGGAAAAUCAAUGGAAAAAAGGAUGGAAAAUGGGAAGGAACUGAGCGCUGCAUUUUCUGUACUUCUCGCAUGCUGCUGUUUGGAAAAUGUUUGUUUUGUUUGCAGCUCACGCGCCUCCUCUUUUUUUUUUUUUUAAUUAACAACAAUAAUAAGGAAACAACAAAUCGAAAUAAAACAAGAACAACAAAAGUCAAAUAAAAGCUAAAAAAGAAAUUUUUUGAAUUUAAUUGAUGAUUUUUCCUUUUAUUUUACUAAUCUUCACUUAAUUUAGAUAAACGAAUAAUAAACUUUUUCUUAAAUUGAGUCUAAAAGAAAUAAAACAUAUUUUUUGUCAACAAUUUUCUUCUUCUUUUUUUUUGAAUAAAUUUUAAUGCUAAAAUGUCUCAAAUAAAAAUUAAGAGACUCAUGAGCGAAAAUGAAUAAUAAUUAUCAUUUAAAAAAUAAAAAUAAAUAAAUAAAUAAAGCUAAAUUAAAAAUUUGGUAUCUAAAAUGCUAAAAUGUCUAAAACAAAAUCAUGAGAUUAAUAAGUAAAAAUAGCUAACAAUUAUCAAUAAAGAUAAAAAUAAAUUAAAAUAAAAUGAAAUAAAUUAAAAUUUGGUGUCUACACUAUGAGAUCUAAAUUAUUUUAAUUGUUUUUUCCAUUUAUUGAUAUUUAUAUGUUUUCUACUUUUAAUUGUUAUAGCUCUUGUGUAUGAUUGAUUAGUGCGUAAUAAUUAAUUAUUCACAUAGGCUAUUGUGCUAAUUAGGGGUAAUUGAAUCCGUAAUUGUUCGAUUAUCUCCAUCCCAGUAGCAACUGGCGUAAUUGGGUUUAUGUCAGGAAAACAUACUAUUUAACUUAAACAAACUCUCGUAGCAUGUUUGUUAGUUAGGAUUGGGCCUUUCUAAAUCUUAAUGCAAACCAGAAAUUAAAUCAUAUGGUCGUACCUAGGGUUGUUUCCGGGUUAGAGAAAUAGUUAACGGUCAUAUCUUAACUAUCGAGAAAUUAAGGAAGGGUUGGUUGUUUAUCGCGUGCAUGACAACUAUAACCAAUCUAUUAAUAAAUGUUGGAAUUAUCUGUGAAUCGAUGAUCAGUGCAUGAACCAUUUCUGAAGUGUACCCUUGACUAGAGUUCUCACAAUUAUUUCUUUUAAUUAAUUAUUUUCUGCAUUUACUUUAUUUAGUUAGCAUUUAAUCUUGAAAACCCCCAUUUGUCUUGACUCGGAAGGAAAUAAAUUUUUCUCCAGUCCCUGAGGAGACGACCCUGCUUGCCAUUGUCUACUAGUUAGUGAAUUUAGUCAGAUAAUUAAUUCAGGUAUAUCGGAUUAAACAAACUCUUCGAAAACAGGGUGAAUCAAGUAACCCAUUGCAUACCUAGAGUCCCUGCUCCAGUACUUAGAAUUGAUUAUUGACUGCUUUUGGUGGUAGUUAGGUUUUAUUUAUUAUUAUUGCACAGGUUGGGUACUUGUCAAUUUUUGGCGCCAUUGUCGGGGACUAGUGCCUAAUUAAUUUGUUUCUUUUUUAUUUCAUCUUGUUUUCAUUUUUUUUAUUUUUCUCUUAAUUUUUUUUAUAUAUAGUUUAUGGCUGCUAAUAUUCCGUAUUUUGGUGAUAGAUUGGAUUUUAUUUCUAGAAGGGGUUAUGAGACUCGUACUUUUUCUAAUGAUCAAUAGGCUGUUGCAAAUUGUGGAACUUAUUUUGCCUCAGAUCAUUCAACCGACAUAUGCCAUACAUUUCAAGAUGGUCUAAGUGCUCAAAUCGAUAUUUUUGGAGAUUUUCCACCUCAAUAUCAAACGUGGUAUGACCCUUAUUCAAACGAGUAUGAACAAGGAUGGUGGGAUGAUUCCAAUUUAAUUAUGAACAAAGGCCAAUAGAUUUUCAACAGCUAGAGUCUCAAGAACCGUCAUCCAUGUCAGGUAUGUCUCUUGAAGAAAUAGUUGAAUUAAUAGCUACUAACACAUAUCAACUUCAACAGGAGACACAUCAACUUCAAUAGGAGACACAUUAAUUUCAACAGGAGAUACAUCAAUUUCAACAGGAGACACAAAGGUUGAUUAAAGAGAUGGAAGAUGGAAGGCGUGAAUUGGCAUCUACAAUAAGCAAAUUGGUUUCUCCAUUUUAUGAAGAAUUACCCUCACAAACCAACAUCGAUUUUAAAGAAGAUGAGAAUAUAAUUAUCCUGACAAGUGACAUGAAAUUGCAAGAGUCUCAAGAAGAAGAAUCUAAAGAUAAAGUUGAAAAGGAAAUUAAAGUACAAGAAAUGGAACCCCAAUAUCAAAUGGUUCAAGCGAAUGAAUCCAAUGAACAAUCUCCAAAUGCGGUAACAUCUCCUCCAUUUCUUAAUCAAUACUUUCAUAACUCUUAUUCUUCAAUUCUUGUUAGUGAGAUUGACUUUAUUAUACCAGAAGAUUUUGAAUUUCAUGACAGGAAUAAGUUAAGAGUUGCGAUGGUAAAAUAUCUCGAACCAAUAAGUGCUCGUGAUGGAGGAGUGAGUGAAGAAUUAAGGUCAUUACUUGCUUGUUUGGUGCCAUCUACUAGUCCAUUGAAAACCGUACCUCGUGUGCUCAAUGAUUACUCUAUUUACGAGGGAUAUCAGGACUACAUAAAAGAUGAAGCACUGAAACGAGCUACACGAUUUUAUCCUCCGUGAACAAGCAUGGCAACGUCUAGCCAAAGACGUUAAACAAAGACGCUGCUUGGGAGGCAACCCAAGGCCUUUGUUUUAGUUUUCUUAUGUUUUUAGAGUUUUUGUUAAGUGUUUGUUGCAUUUAGUGAUUUAUUGCUUUUGUUGUAGGGAGCUGGCAGUUAGACGUGCCCACGCCAAGUGGUCACGUUUAAGGAAGGAGGUUUUAAUUUGGCGGACAGAAGACUACUUAGUAGUUAGAUGUGCCCACGGCAAGUGGUCACGCCUAAGGAAGGCAAUUUGCAUUUGCGGGCAGAAGACUCUCCGUUGCCGUUGCCGAAAUGUUAGGAAAAAAUGUGCUAAUAGUGAAAAAUAUGGAAGUGUUUGAAUGAAUUAUUAGUCCGCUGAUUCAUGAAUUUUAAUGUUGAGAUUUUGCUUAAUAGUUGAACCAUUUGCUUAUGGAUGCUGGUUGAAUAUUUUAUAUUCUUAGAUUAGUUUGUUAUAAAUUAAAAUAGUUCUUGAUCUUAAAAGCUAACUGGAGAGAUAUUUCUUGAAAAUUGCCACUAAUACUUGACAUAUGUUUUAAUUGCAUCUUGACAAUAGAAAAUUUGAGUAAUAGCCAUUGUUUGAAUUUGAUUGCUUAAUUUGUUAUUCUCAUGCUUGAGGACAAGCAUGGUUUAGGUAUGGAGGGAAUUGAUAGGGUAUAAUUUGUUAUUAAUUUUAUGGUUAAUUUUUCUCUUUGUCCUUGCCAAAUAUUGUUUUAAUUGUCGAAAUAUACUUAUAUUUGGUAUUUGGACCUAAUUACAGGUAAUGGAGCAGAAAAGUACUAAAAAGGAUGAUUUUCUUGAGAAAAUCCCGUGCACGUGGGAAGCCUUGAGAAUCCUUGCAAAUCCGGCUCCAAGAUGUGCUAAACCAACGUCUUUCCUUUCGUGACUAGUAGUUUACUAGCAUUAGGAAACAAGAAAGAAGGAAACUUCAGUAGUUGCCUUAUCUCUUUGUUUUCCUUAUUUGGUGGAAAAACCGACAAGAUGAGAGACUAGUCAUUGUUUAGAUUGAGGAGACUUGUUUUGGGGUCUUAGUAGUUUUCUUCUCCUAUUAGGUAUCUAUCAUGUGCGCCGCAAAGGCCAUAGAGGGGAACAUUUAAUUAUCCCUUUGGCUUGGUAGUUUGAGGAAUAAUUCUUAUUCCAUCGAGUUUUCUUCCUUCGAAUUUGGAGAAGAAUGCCAUCAACUAAUAUUUCUGAAUUUUCGCAUGGAUUGUUCUCCAUUGAUGGAGAACGAACUUCUUAUUUCUAAUCAAGGGGGCAACUAAUGAUUUGGUUCGGCAAUCACUGUGAGAUCUAAACCAUUUUUAAUUGUUUCCUUCAUUUAUUGGUAUUUAUAUGUUUCCUACUUUUAAUUGUUAUAGCUCUUGUGUAUGAUUGAUUAGUGCACAAUAAUUGAUUAUUCAUAUAGGCUAUUUUGCUAAUUAGGGAUAAUUGAAUCCGUAAUUGUUCAAUUACCUCCAUCUCAGUAGCAACUGGCGUAAUUGGGUUUAUGUCAGGGAAACAUACGAUCUAAUUUAAACAAACCCUCGUAACGUGUUUAUUAGUUAGGAGUGGGCCUUUCUAAUUAUUAAUGCAAUCUAGAAAUUAAAUCCUACGGUCGUACCUAGGGUUGCUUCUGGGUUAGAGAAAUAGUUAACGGUCGUACCUUAACUAUCAAGAAAUUAAGGAAAUGUUGGUUGUUUAUCGCGUGCAUGACAACUAUAACCAAUCUAUUAAUAAAUGUUGGAAUUAUCUGUGAAUCGAUGAUCAGUGCAUGAACCAUUUUUGAAGUGUACCCUUGGCUAGAGUUCUCACAAUUAUUUCUUUUAAUUAAUUAUUUUUUGCAUUUACUUUAUUUAGUUAGCAUUUAAUCUUGAAAACCCCCAUUUGUCUUGACUCGGAAGGAAAUAAAUUUUUCUCCAGUCUCUGAGGAGACGACCCUGCUUGCCACUGUCUACUAGUUAGUGAAUUUAGUCAGAUAAUUAAUUCAGAUAUAUCGGAUUAAACAAACCCUUCGGGAACAGGGUGAAUCAAGUAACCCAUUGCAUACCUAGAGUCCCUGAUCUAGUACCUAAAAUUGAUUAUUGACUACUUUUGGUGGUAGUUAGGUUUAUUUAUUUAUUAUUAUUGCACAAGUUUGGUACCUGUCAAUAUGCACAAAGAUAGACAAAAAUUGGAUAAAAUUCGACAAAGUCAAACAAAAAAUUCCAACAAAAAUGUCUACACUUACACUUUUUCAAUAUAAUACCACUAUACUACUCCCCCCCGUCCCCCCACCUAAAUCUUAUAUUGUCCCCAAUGUAAGUAAUAAAGAAUAAAAUACAAAGCAAAAAGGGACAACGAAACUUCCCUGAUCGUCAAAGGGGGGUCUCGAGCAGCUAUGACAUAGGUGAGAUUGGUAGUGUGAAGCCAACAUGGUGGAUAUUUACUGCACCCAAACCAAAAUAGGAGAUGCACAUAGAUAGUGAAAAUGGAGAUGAUCAUGGGAGGUGGCUAGCAGCGGCAACAUGGUGUGGUAGCAAUGGUGACGAGCAGAAACGGCGCGAGCAGCGGAGUUUGAGGUCCUAAGGUUGUGGUCCUGCGAUUGGAAAAGGAAAGAAAGGAAGAAAAAGGAAAGGGAGAGAAGAAGAAAAGAGAAAUAAAGAAGAAAGAAAGAGAAGAGAGAAAGAAAGAAAGAAAAAGAAAUGAAAUGAAAUUUUUUUUUGAACCACUACGUUAGAUGUGGGCACGCCUAGCUGCCCUUGAGUCUUCUAACCAACCCAUAGAAAUUAAGAUAUUUCCCCACACCUAAAUCAUGCUUGUCCUCAAGCAUGAGAACAGCAAAUCAAGCAAUCAAAUUCAAACAAUAGCUAUUAUUCAAAUAUUCUAUUGCCAAGAUACAAUUAAAACAUAUGUCAAGUAUUAGUGGUAAUUUUCAAGAAAUAUCUCUCUAGUUAGCUUUCAAGAUCAAGGACUCUUUCAAUUUAUGACUAACUAAUUUAAGGAUAUAAAAUAUUCAACCACCAUCCAUAAGUAAAUGGUUCGACUACUAAGCAAAAUUUCAACAUUAAAAUUCAUGAAUCAACGGAUUAACAAUUCAUCCAAACACUUCCACAUUUUUCACUAUUAACACAUUUUUUUCUAAAAUAUCCCCACACUUAAUUGAUUUUUUUUUUCAGGGGGACUGCUUAGUUUUUAGCCAUUCAAGCGUUUUGACGCGAACUCCGACAUUGGCCACAUGAAAGAGCCCGGUUACUCAGUCAUUAUCGUUUAAAAACCACAUACUCAUAGCUAUCAUCGUUUUUUGACGCGAAAGUCGACACUUAUGGUGAAGACCUCCUGUUACUAAGCAAGAAUACUAGCGGAGUAUAGCCGAAUACUAUUCAUAAAUAAGCACCAAAUUUAAAUUAAAAAUCGCACAAACCCGCUUCAUUUCUUAAAUAUGGAGAACUAAAAUUAAUAGUUGAACCAAUUUGCAUAAAAAAUGCUGGACAAAUAUUUACCAUACUUAGAGAAGUUAACCAAAAGGCGCAAAAGUUACAAAAUCUCAAAUAUUCACCAAAAUAGAUACCCUUAAAUUUAACCAUGUCAUACUUAACACCUUAGAGUGUAAAAUCUUAGCAAUAAAAAAUUUUGAGACAUCUAACCAUCGUUAAUCAGGAACAAUCACACAUAUGCACAAAGAUAGGCAAAAAUUGGAUAAAAUUCGACAAAGUCAAACAAAAAAUUCCAACAAAAAUGUCUACACUUACACUUUUUCAAUAAAAUACCACUAUACUAUGUCCCCUAUAAACUUUUUGAAAUCUAAUUAAACCCAUUUCGGAGAGAUAUCCAUCUAUCAAUCAAAAUUAAAAUGGGUACAAAUGACAAGUUUGGGAGAUGUAAUAUCUCCAUUUACCAAUGAUCUUCGUCUUUCCAUAUCUCACUCCCUAAAAUCUUCCUCAUUAUUCCUCAUCUUCUUCACCAAAAUCCCAAAAUAAGGAAAAAGAGGAGGCCUGGGGGUUUUGCAGGAAUGGUGUUGGUGAAUGGGUAGUGAAGACCAUAGGUUAAUAAAUCCAUAGUUAAUAAAUAUAAUGAAGAUUUCGACUAAUGUUUUUAUUGAGAUAUAUGUUAGAACAAGGCCUUAUUCAUUAGAAGAGUUAGACAGAGAGCAAAAGGGGACAAAAGUAGGCCUGUCAACGGGUCGGGUCUAGACCCGGAUCCGGACCGGAUCCGUGAAAUUUUUGCGAGUAUGGGUAGAGAUUUAAUUCCGUUUCCCGGAUCCGGAUCCGUUUUGUCAAACAAAAAAACGGGUCGGAUACGGAAUAUAGUAUUCCGACCCGUUUUAGACCCGGAUCCGGAUAUAAAUGAAUUAAUAAUUUUAAAUAUAUAUAUUUAUCAAUAUAAUUUGAUUAGGGUGAUGUAUUUUAAUAAAGUUAAUUUGAUUUCUUUUCUUAUUUGAUUUUUUCUUUGCAUUAGUUAGAAAUUAGUUUACAAAUGUAUUUUUUUUCUCAUUUUUAUUAGAAAUUAUAAAUUUUGGUAAAUUUGUUCGGGUAGACCCGGAUCCGGAUCCGGAUCCGGGACCCGCCGAAUCCGGAUCCGGAACAUAGAAUAAAAGACCCAUCUGGUAAACGGGUCGGAUCCGGAAGACAAAAGGCAGGACAAAGGAGCAAUUUAGCUUCUUAGACAGAGACUGAAUGGAACACAUAAGGAUUGGCUGUCCGAACAUCAGUCAGAAAUGAUCAAAAGAUCUUAGUCUUCUUUUUUUUCUUUUUUCCUUUCCUUUUUACGGACAGCACGGUAGCAGCCGGUCUUUUGAAAAAAAAAAAAUUGGCAUGAGGCUACCGUGCACCUGACACUUUUAAAAAUAAAUUAUUUGCUGCCUUACAGCAUAGUAGCAGGAGGCCUUUUCUAAAAAAAAAAUUCGCCUGCAGGCUAUAAUUUUGUACCAAGACAAUGGUAGAGUUACAUUUGGCGGAUAAUUUUUUUUUUUUUUUUACCUAUCCUAAGAAAUUAGCCACUUCAGUGUGAUGAUGAGGAAACGUGUGUGUGAAAUAAUGUCUCUUGUUCAAUGUGGCCAUGCAACCAUUCCUUUGGUUUACAUUUGCCACUUGCAAUUUUUAUUAUAAAUGACAGGGCGUCAGCCUGUGCAAUAAUAAAAAUAAAACCUAACUACCACUAAAAACAAUCAAUAAUUAAUCCUAGGUAUUGGAGCAGGGACUCUAGGUGUGCAUUGGGUUACUUGAUUCACCCUGUUCCCGAAGAGUUUGCUUAAUCCGAUAUACCAGAAUUAAUUAAUUGACGAAAUUUACUAAAUAGCAAACAGUGGUAAGCAGGGUCGUCUCCUCAGGGACUGGGGAUAAUUUGUUUCUUCUAGAGUUCAGUGCAUGGGGGAUUUUUAGAGAAUAUAAAAUAAUUGAUUAACUAACUAAUAAAACAACGAAUAGAAAUUAAUAGAAAUUAAUCAAUAACCAAUACGACUCUAACCAAAGGUACAACUUUUCAGACACGGUCCAUUCACUUGAUCAUCGAUGCAAAGAUAAUCCAAUUACUCAUUACUAGAUUGGUUAUAGUUGUCACACACGCGAUGAACAACCAGCCUUUCCUUAAUUUCUCGAUAGUUAAGGUACGCCCGUUAACUAUUUCCCUAACCAAGAAAUAACCCUAGGUACGGCCAUAGGAUUUAAUUACCCGAUUGCAUUAAUAAUUAGAAAAGCCCAACCCUAACCAACAAACACGCUACGAGGGUUUGUUUAAGUUAGAUCAUACGUUUCCCUAACAUGAAACCAAUCACGCUAGUCGCCACUGGUAUUAAUCAAUUGAACAAUUACGGAUUCAAUCAAUUAAUUUGGCAUUAGAUCAUUAGGUUAAUUCGAAUAUCGGGCCCUUGACAUUCAAAUAACAUAACAGACAUAAGCAAUUAAAUCAGGAAACGUACAAAUACCAAUGAAUAAAAGAAAUAAAUAAAAUUAAUUCGAUCUCACAGAUAUUUGGAACCGCGCCUUCAAAUUGGCCUUCAACUAGAUGAGAAGCUUAGCCACGCCUCAUGAGAAAAUCUCCAAGUAAUUUUACUAAGGUCCAGGCCAUCAAAGGAACUAAGAAAGAAAAAAACUAAACUAUGCUAAAAGCUAUUGAUCAGCACCCCUAGCCUCUGUACGAUUCUCCUUUUUAAAGCCGAAAGGAAGAUGACUAAUGCUUUCCUUUAUCCCAUGGUCCCCGCACGAAUUGAGAGUCCAAUUCCAUUUCACAAGCCUUUGUACGUUUCCUUUCCAAGAGCCCAAAUGAGCUUCUUAUCUCCGUGGUCCCAACGAGAUUCCCCUAUCAAAGUACGAAAAGGUAAGGCCUCUUAAUGUUUCCUCUUUUCUCGCUUCUCAUUGCUCCUAGGACUCCUAGGAUUCAAGACACUCCUCAUCAGCAAAAGAAAUGCAGUCCGUCUCUUCCUCUUCUUGUGGGCCAGGUCGAUGGAGCCUUCUUGAAGUCUCCCACUUAUGGAGCAAGUCCCUCUUUUUUUGUAGUUUCUUGCUCUAAUCCCUGAAAUUAAGUCCAAAUACCAAAUAUAAGUAAAUAUUACUAAUUAAAACAAUAUUUGGCAAGAACAAAGAGGAAAUUAAUAAUAAAAUUACUAAUAAUUAACACCCUAUCAAUAAAACAUGAAUAUUACUCUAGCUUUUGGAACCUGAAGCAAUUAUAAUAGAACGACUUUGGCCAAGAACACUGACAAUUGUAGUUGACACUCAGAAUUUUUUUUAAAAAAAACAAACAGCAUAUGAAUUUAUAAGGAAAUAGAAUAUGAUGCUUCAAGAGUUUGAUUGAGCAUUUAUUUGGGACCGUAGGCAUCCAAUGACUGAGUCGUCCAAUUGAAGAUCAAUAUGCUUGUACAGGGAAAUCUACUUGCAAAAAUUAAUGGGAAACUUUUGACCACGGAGUCUAUUUCAUUGUCCCUUGCAUUAUUGGAAGAUACAGCAUCACAACCAUUCCUUUUUCCAUUGACCAUUUGCCACUGUGAAGUCUUGGCCUGUUGGCUUAGGAUAAGAAUCCAAGACCUCCAAUGGUUGGUUAAAAGAAAUCCAUGAAAUAUUUAUUUCUCUUGUUAUAUUAGGAAUUGGUUAGUACAAAGAUUAUUCUUAUUUGAAAAGAUAUGAAGGGGACAGUUUUAUGACUCAUUACAUAAUUGAUCAAUGACCAAUAGUGAAAAAAUAUACAAAGAAAACAAAAAAUUGCCCUUUUCAUUAAUUGAUAAUCCACAAGAAUUUAGUAGCUUAAAGUGUCUUCGGUCUGUGGUAAUAUUUGUGGUAAUAUUUGGGUAUGAAAAGAUCCUCUCACAGCUACAUUUUUAUCCAAGUUCUUAAGUGGUGAUCCCAAGUUGCUAAAGGUGUUGAAAUUGGAUGGAGCUGAAUUGGACAACAUCCCAAAGCAUGUCUUCAAACUAUUUCAUCUCAAGUAUCUUAAUCUCAAGGGAACUAGAGUUAAAAUUAUUCCAAAAUCUAUUGGGAAGCUUCAAAACCUUGAACUUAUAAAUCUGACAAGAACCAAUGUAACAGAGUUGCCUGUGGAAAUUCUAAAGCUAAGAAAACUCCGUUCUCUUUUGAUAGGCGGAUUGGGAGAUUAUUCAAAUGAGUAUGCAAUUUGGGGCUGUAAAUGUCCACUUGGAAUUGGAAAGCUUAUUUGCUUGGAAAAUCUGACUAAUAUAGAAGCAGAUAGUGAUAAAAUAGUAAGGGAGAUUGGAAACCUCAUGCAGCUGCAGCGAUUAUGGAUCACAAAGCUGAGAAGAGAAAAUGGAAAAGAGUUGCUCUCGUCCCUCUUGAGGCUGACCAACCUUCAAGAAUUGGUCAUCUCCUGUAUUGAAGAAGAUGAGACCCUUGAUCUCCAACAUUCCAUCUCUCCAAAGCUUGAAUUCCUCACAUCUCUGAGAUUGAAGGGGCGUUUAGAGAGAGUACCGCAAUGGGUGACAUCACUUCAAUCCUUGAGAACCUUACGGUUGGACAAUAGUAGGUUGAGAGAAGAUGAGAAUGUAAUAGGCUCCCUCGGACAUUUGUCCAAUCUGAUAACACUUACUCUCCGUUGUGCUUAUGAAGGGGAGACAAUAUGUUUCAAGGUUGGAGGAUUUCAAAAACUCCAGCGCUUAGAGUUUGUGCAAUUAACAAGACUGAAAUGGGUGAGAGUGGAAGAGGAAUCAAUGCCUAGUCUGAGAAAUCUGCAAUUAAUUGGUUGUAAACUGAUGCAGGAGUUGCCUACGGGCAUCCAAAACUUGACCGGACUUCAAUUUCUUGGGUUCUUUGAUAUGUCUGAUGAGCUAAUGCACAAAGUACAGAUUUGGAUAAACAAAGUGCAGAUUAUCAGAUAAUUUCUCAUAUCCCCGAAGUUUGCACUGGUUACUGGAUUGAUGGUCGGUGGGAACCCAAGUUCCUCUAAGAGAAGAGACAACUCUUGCAGUUCUCAGCGCUAUCUGAUAUGCAGUUAACUCAUCUCUUCAAAGUACGAAGUCGCUUACUAGCUUUCCCUUCUGUUUCGUUGAGUUCCCGUUUGCUUUUUCCCUUCCACUGCUUGUCAUACUUGUAUCAAAUCAUAUCAUGAAAUAUCAAUUCCUCAAAAAUGUGUAUGUGUACAUAUAUAGAUUUAGAUAUUUACCAAAAAAAGAAAAAAAUAGAUUUAGAUUUUCUUUUCAAAGUUACUUCCAUCAAACAUAGAGCAGGUCUUUAUUCCAAGUCCUAUAUAAUGCGCUGUUGGAAUAGUUUACUUAUAAUAGUUAGGGAAGAGCCAGAGAAGAGUUUUUAGAGUUUUUUCCGUUGAAUUUAAUUCAGGUUCUGAAUCGUGAGUAUUAUAAUUGGGACUGUUUAUUCAUAAAUUUGCAUGUAGUUUUUUGGUACUUAGAGUUGGAUUUAUUUAGAGUAAAGUGUUAGUUUAAAGUAAAAAUCUCUAGUAUGAUGAUGAUGGAUUGUAUUACGCCUCAGUUGUACAGCUGAGCAAAGCCCUGUGGGGUUAAGUUCCCACAUCGCUUGGGGGGGUUUGGGGGGUUUAGUAGUUAAGUGCUGCGGAGCACUUCAAAAGUUGCCGGCUUUUGAAGUGUCUUCGCAGAGUCCAUUUAUCGAAACACUCAUACAAAAAACUGUGAGUUAUGAAAGGGAAAAACCUGUCUCGGGGAGUCUGGGGGGUCUUUAUCUCUUAGCAGCGGGGCACCCUGUGGGGUUCAGUUCCCACAUCGCUUGGGGGGGUUUGGGGGGUUUAGUAGUUAAGUGCUGCGGAGCACUUCAAAAGUUCCGGCUUUUGAAGUGUCUUCGCAGAGUCCAUUUAUCGAAACACUCAUACAAAAAACUGUGAGUUAUGAAAGGGUACAGCUGAGCAAAGGAGCAAAAAGAGGGAAAGAUACCGUGAAGGACGGGUGUAUGGAAAGGGGGUCCCACACCAUGUGACUGAUGUGUAGGCUUCUGUUUAUCUCGGCCGUUGGAUUGGAUGAAAACUGGGGUCUGCGUCACAUCCAAGGGUCCAACUGUAAAGUUUUUAAAGAAACGAGUAAUUGAUUGUUUUGUUGAUGAUGGAUGCUGGUGCUCUUUCUAAUUUCUAUAGCUUUUUCUUGCCGACACAUAAUGGUAGAUCUGGUUAUUUGAUCGGCUUCGGCUGUCAAUUUUCUUCAUUUUCAUUUUAGAAAUUUUCCUCUCCAAGAUUUGAAACCAAAACUUUUUGCCAGAAAGUCACUACUAGUAGUUAGUUUUGUUCUUGUCCUAAAUGUGGGAUGGUCUCUCAAGUUUUGAUAAGUCAAAAAGAGAGUAGUAAAUAAAUAAUAAAUCGAAACACUAUAUUCAUCUCCUACAUCAAACUAUUUAAGCACAAAAAAUUAAACCUCUAUUUUUAAGUUCAAUAUAUGAUUGGGAUUGAUACACAUACAUCUCGCAUAUCUUAUAAAUUACUUCUUUGUUUUUGGGUCAAUCCACAUUUUUGUUUCUUCUGUCUUUUGCAAGUGUGGUCCAAGUAGGGCGAGUCAAGUAGUACUAAUUUUUGUACUAUAUUAGCCAAUAAUGAAAAUCAUGUAACUGAGUUUAAAGAUCAUGAAAAAUCAUAUAAUUGAGUAACUUUAACCACUAAAUUUGGGUUAAAGAACUGGGGUAAGUAAAAGGGCGGCUUGCAGGGAUGGGAUAGGCUUAGCCUCUUAUAUUGGCCAAAGAUAACCGAUAGUCUUAUAACUCAUACGGUGACACAGAUGAUCGGCAAGUAGUGAUAUAGAUAAUCUAUGAUGAUCUACAAGUAGUGACAUAGAUGAUCUACGAGUACCAAGCAAAUAUUUAAGUAUUAAUCUGUCUAACGGGGGCUCAUAGUGUACUCGUUAAGUUAUGAUAAGAUACAUUUCAGGUGUUAUAUUUUUGAUAAUAUAAUAUUAAUUUGGAAAAACAAAUAAAUAUAAGGGGUAGUAGGCAAGAUUAAAUAGAAAAAUUAUAUAAAUAUAAAAGAGAAUAAUAAUUGUUAGUAUAUAUAUAUAUAUAUAUGGUAGUUUAGGUGGAUGCUACGUGUCGUUCGAAAAACCCUAAUAUAGGACUUGGAAUAAACGAAAUAGAGCAGGUCUUUAUUAAGAGGGCAGUCUUCAUUAAGUUAAUACUGAAGUGUACGAAGCAUAAUAGAUGGAGUUAAUGAAAUUAGUGAAGCUUCGAUAACACCUUUUCAAAGUCCAAACUUGAAGGUUCAGUUGCAUUUUUUUUCCCUUCUAAAUUCUGGUUGUAUGCAUAUUUUUCACAAAUGCUUGACUGUAGAAUAUAUAUGAUUUUAUUCUUCAGCAAGUUUCUCAAUUGUGGAUUUGCAAAUGAAACAAUUUUUCAAAAAAAAUAAGGGAUAUGUCAAUAGAAAACAUGCAAAAUAAUAUCAUAAAACUGUUUAAACUUAUUUACAACUUAUUCCUUUCUAAUGAAGUAAAAUUACAGUCACCUUACUCAAAGGAAAUUAUAAUACUUUUCUCUAUCACACAAAAAGUUGCAAUCAAGAAACAUAAUAAUAAAAUAAUAAUAAGACCACCGACUUGAAAAGAGAAAUAUAGAAAACAAAACAAAACAAAACCCAAAGGGAAAAAAGAAGGAAGAAAGUGAAGGGUUUCAGGUAGACGAUCAUGUUCUUGUAUCAAAUUUUGCCAUGAUUUAUCCAUUUUUUGUUGGCAAUUUAAAUGUAGUAUGAUGUGCUUGUUAUCAUAUGCCAAAUUCGUACACUUCAAGAUUGUAAGAAUUUGAUUGUCAUUCUCAUGACAAUCUCAAGAUUGUCUUUCCAUGCCAACUUUCUCCUCUGCCGCUGGUUUUAUUUAGCCUCAUAGCUAUAAAUUUUAGAGACAAUUAAUUGGAACAACACAAAAUGGAAUUCUAAAUUACCCAAGAAUGUAUUGUUGGAUUGUCUGUGAAAGAUACCUUUUUUUUUCCCAACUUAGUAAACCAAAAUUUCAUCUAUGUCAUUCAAAGCAUAAAUGGAUAUUUAUUCUUAUUUAGAAAAUGCACGCGCGCGCUCGAAACUUGUCUGAAUUAUGAUCAACUAAGAUUAGCUAUUUUGAUUUUAUGAAAUCAAAGUAUAAUGAAUAAAUAAUAACAUUACAAUUAAAAAAAAAGCAAAUUUCAUGGAAUUAAAAGAUGAUAAACCAAAAUUGAUGGAUUGACAUUGCCCGAACUAAGGUUUGAUUGAGUAAGGUGUCCUCAUGGCUUCUACUUUUUAAUCCUCCUAACAAUUAUUGCUACAUUUUAAUUGUCAUCGAGGAUUUUUCUUAGUUAUUUUAUGAAAUGUAAGGGAUAAAAAAAUUCAUUUUAUUAAAUGUGAAGGACUAUCAAUUAGAUUAUGUGAAAUAUGAUUUGACAAUUUUUUCCCUCAAACAUGAUCACGUGCAGGGCACGUGGUGAAUUCCGAAAAAAAAUUAGUUGGAAACCUAGGUAGGGACAAAAUUUAACUGAUAUGAAUUUAUAAAAGACGUAAAAUUACUUUUUUAGAAUGAGAGACGGAAAAAAUCAUUUUACAAAAAUGUGAGUAACGAUUUCAACGAUUUUCCGUAUCAAUUAUAUUAAUUGCAUUGCCCGGAUUCGUUGUACCCAAAUGCCUAUGAGUACAAGCUUCUACCAGUAUACGAUGAAUAUAUAAAAAGAAAAAUAAUGUUGUUCUUUUCAUUUUUUUCCUAGCACAUUGUAAUGUUUCCUAUAUAUAUAAAAAGGAGUUUGUAAGUGAUUGUUGAAAAAUUUUCAUCUGUUAUCUUUAGAGAUAAUUUAGGUAGGAAAAAAAUCAAAUACAAGUGAUUAAGCCAAACGUGCAACAUUAUAAUGUAUAGUUGAGUUGGGUUUGACUAUUGUGUCCUCCCAUUUACAAUUGGCUUAUAUUCCACGUGAUUAUCAAGCAUUUAAGUGGUGUUUAAACCACUUACAAAUGUAAUUGCAAUCCUCUCCAUCUUCUUUUAUAAUUGUUGGGUAACUUUUAUAACUACAAUAAUAGAGGGUCUUAAUGCUAAAGAUGGUUGGUUCAGGAAGCACUUAAUAAUCAACAUGAUUGAUUUUGGUUCAUAUUUUCAAUCCAUUACAAGUAUAAUUGUAGUGCUCUUCAACUUGAUAAUAAUUGAGGCUUUAAAUACUGAAGAAUGUUGCUUCAAGUGCAUGUGCUCAAUUUUUUGUUGCGGGUGUUUAGAUAGGUAUGCUCAUUUACUUUUUCUCUUUCUGGAGUUUUGGUUGUUUAGCUAAUAUAAUAAAAACUGUGAGUUUUCUACUGCAAUAUUUUCUCAAUAGCUAUUGUGUGAAUAUGGAAAUUUCUUUAUGGAAUACUUGAUACAUACAUAUGAAUAUCCAUAGGAAACUUUUUAUAUCUUUUAACUAUAUUUCCAAAAUCCGAUGUUCGUGGCUGUAGGUGGUUAAACUGUGACUAAAGAUUAUCUAUUGACUACAAUUUUAUGACCAAGGUAGGACCUAAAUUUAACCUUAUAGUUUAAGUAUGUUAAUUGUUGAUUGAAUAUGGCUAUGAUUAUGUUAUAAUGGUAUAGGGACAAGGAUAAUGAUAUUUUUGUUAUUGUUAUUAUGGUAUGGUGUGAUUAUCUACUACAAUCCUAUUUCUUUUACUUAUAAAUUUUUUUCCUUUAUAAGUUUGUUGAUUUGGCCAAUUUACUUAUAAUUUCAUGCACUUCAAUUGAUUCAAUUAAACUAAUUAGCAUGCAGUUCUAAUUAAAUCAAUUAUCGCAUAGGUCAAAACUCCUAUGCUUAGCGCGGCUUUCCCCCUAGUAGUACUAAGCAUAGUUAUUGAACCCGGCCAGCCCGGCGAUCGAACCGGUGAACCGGACAUUGCACCGGAUUUCGUAUAAAAAUUUUAUUCCUUUGCUGGAACUUGAACCAUUUUAUUCCUUUGCUGGAACUUAAACCUUGGACCUUUGGUCCUUGCAGCAAGGCGCACACCACCAAGCUACUUCACCAUUUGUUGAUUAAGUAGCUUACUCAUAAUAUAUAAACGUUUUGUCAACUUUAUCUUUUUUUUUAUUUCUCUAAAACAAAUUUAUUUGGAAUCUUUUAAUAAAAAUUUAUGACCCCCAAACUCUAUAAGUUAUAAAAUGGACUUAAAAAAUGACAUAUUACAUAAUUCAUUUUAAAGACAAAUAUUAUUUUUAAUAAUUUUUUGCACUUAAAAUUCAUAAAUAAGUUAGAUAAUUACACUAAACAUAGAUAAAAUUUUAUACUUGAAAUUUGGUAUAUUACUAAAUAACUUAAUAUUGUAUUGAUUCUUAUAUGAAUUAAUUAUUUUAUAGCAAAUUAAAUUAUAUGAGCAUUUGCUAUGACAUUAUUUCUUAUAAUUUAUAUCAUAUAUCUUAUAUCAAAAAUUAUAAAAUAUAAUAUUUAAAUAUAUUUAGUGAUCCACCGGUACAACCACUCACCCACUGGUUAAACUAGUAAUCCGUUGACCCACCUCGUUCGCCGAGUUCCCUCCUGGGUUGGGUUUAAUAACUAUGGUACUAAGUUUAUGCUCUUCUUUUUUUUUUGUCUUAACGGCACAUGUCUAACCUACUCCUACUCU
rnacentral:lncRNA from 1 species